rnacentral:misc_RNA from 1 species
GCACCAGCACCUCAGUCCUUCCUCCAUCUCCGUCGGGGUCACACGUGCGGCGUUCACGCUCCUCCCCUCACGCUCCAGAGCCUCUCGAGGUAGGCAGUCAGGUGACGAGACCCACACCCAGAACACACCCUGAAGUCAAGAAAGAGACGCCCUCACUGCCGAUAUGAAGACCACAGGCGCCUCUCACCGAGCAGGCCGAGCAGCGCGUGAAUGAAAACAAAACCCUGUCACAGCAAAACACGCAUUUUGCUCUCUUUCCCUGCAAUCACUUUUUACGAGGCGAAGUAUUGCGAGCAGUCGAUUCCAAAUGCCUCUCUCUCCUAACACAACAGCUGCACCUUUGCCUGCACGCCGCCCGUCACGACAUACCCCGCCCACGCCCUGCCUAGCAAGUGCCCCCAGUGUGAGUGCUUGGUGCCUGGGUGGAGGAGGAAGCGGUGGAGGCGAGGGCGGCGGAGAGGCAAUGGUGGUGGUGGUGCCCCUGGGUGUCAUUAGUCGGGGCAGUGAAUGGAUGGUCGCCCCUCACUGAGAGAUGGUCCACCUCCACCUUAGGGCACGGCGUCUUCCCAAGGGUGCGGCGGCAGUGGACCGACUACUCAUGACCCAGAGUCAGCCCGGUGCAUCACGCAGGGCGGCACGGACACCACAGCAAGGCGAGUGCUACUAAUUACUGCCACUAUUGCUGUUCCCUGUGUGACGUUGUUCAUCAAAAGCGUAAAAUUAGUGAGGAGGAAAAACGGGAAGAGGAAAAUGGACAAAAGAUAUUUCAGGGAAAGAACAGUUUUGGACGCUUGUUAAAGUUGCAUCUCUAGGAAGUGACUCUAAAAGGGCGUUGCUUUAAGUCCCGUUUUAAGCAAGAAUUUCAGAACGAGCGGUUCAGCAAGCCUCUCGGCGUGACGGUAGUGUAAAGGACGCGGCGACACUCUACCUCAAAUUCCAUCCACAAAUAAAUAAAACAAGAGACACAGGACUCAUUCAAAGCAGCUUCCGCACACACUCACACACACAGGAAGAAGAAAAGAAUUAUAAUUUGUUUUUUUUAAUCUCGCCUGACUCUGAAGCAAGACAGUAAAAAAAAAAAAAAAUAGAUAAACAUAUUACGAAUGUGUGUGAAGAAAAGUUACAGAAGGAAUAUGGAGCAAUAAUCUGAAGGAGGAAUGAGAGGAAGAGAGCAGAAAGUGUUUUAAAAAUAAGAAGAGAAGGAGAAGGAACACACGAGUUUAACAACUUUAUAAGACAAUAUCAUACACACCAACACACAUUUUCCUUCACCUCACACUCUCCCUCCUUCCUCCUGUCAAUACUCUGCUUGUUAUGGACAUGUACUGAAGUGCUUCUUGUUGGGCGAGAACCACACUAAUCCCGGGAGUCUCCUAACGAAGCACAGUUGUCCGCGUUACGUAAUUUUAGCUCGAUUCGCAAUUUUCAGUGUGCACGUGUGUGAGUGUGUGUGAGAGUGGGUGUGAGGUUGAAGGAAAAUAUAUAUAUAAAAAAAAAGUGUAGUGAUAAAAUACCUUAAAAAGCUUCUAUAAACCACACAAGAUCCAUAUAAAAACUGCAAUGUAAAAAACAAAACUACUAAAAACAACUGUAUAAUUCCCUAACAUCAAAUGAAUGACAUGUGAACGUGACACUUACUAAUAACUAAGACUAAAACAGUGCAGCAUUUCGUUUAGUUACUUAUUAUUUCUCACCUCCUAAAACUGAACCCCAAAUAAACAAAAACAAAACAAGUGGAGAUUAUUAACAGUAACUAAACCAAGGAACCAUAAAAAUACAAAAGAUAAAAUACAAAAACAAUAAAAUAUUACAACUACAACUACAACUACAACUACUAAAAACAAAUAAAGUAACUAAAAAGAUUUAUAUACAUAGUUAUACGUAUAUUUCUACUGACACAAAACAAAUGACACACAACAAUACAAUGAGUUUGAGAAAUUGAUAUGAAAACAAGACUCGCUUUCAGCACCUGAGAUCCUCGUCACGUCAUCUGAAGACUUCUAGCACUGCACUGCACCUCAAUACACCUUCAUCUCACCUCACCUCACCUUCACACCAGUCAGCAGCUUCGUAGGCUGCCUCGUUCCUCGUCAGGGUUACUGGUCGAUCUGCCGCCUCGAGGACGAACCAAGGAGAAGCUCACGCCACUUCAAGACCAUCUAUCAACAAGCUGCUGGCCGGAGAAAGUUGGCAACCACUCAAGCACAAGCCUUCCUCACUUCUUCCUCCACUCCACCACCACCACAACUAGACUCCACCUAUCCUCAUCCAAGACCCACUCCACUUCUCCCACCUCAGCCCUCCCUCCUCCCUCCACACACACACACACACACACACACACACACACACACACACACACACACACACACACACACACACACACACUAACACACCACAGGACCCCUCAACUAACCCGUAUUGUAACGAAACAUUCCUCUCUAACAACUUGGCCUGACAAUUUAUAAACACGCCAGCCAACUUCCUACUCUAACCUUCUGUAAGAUCCGGUUUCUCUCUCCCACUGCGAGGUCACCCCUUCCUCUACUAACUCCCGACUCUCUCUCUCUCUCUCUCUCUCUCUCUCUCUCUCUCUCUCUCUCUCUCUCUCUCUCUCUCUCUCUCUCUCUCUCUCUCUCUCGUCUUUCCUCUGCUCACUUUAACUGUUUAACACGUUCCUUUCUUCCCUUCUCGCUUAGACAUAAUAUUAUAAUUCACCGUAUCUUCUUUCCUCAUCAUCCUCCUUCGGCCGCUGACUCACUGUGAAAAAGGACAUACACGCGUACACACACAAAUCCUUCUCCGCCUACACACGCUGCAUCCCUCGUCUCCCUAUCACCACCACCACCACCACCACCACCCUCCCCAUCAUCACCGCCAUUGCCUUCCUGUCCCGCCCUCUCUCCCGCCACACUCACCACCAUGUCUAUUGGAGGGGGCGCCCACUUGAUCUUCGGGGGCGGCAGCAGCAACCGCACCGUCUCGUCCCAGCAGUUCGAGUGCCACCCGGGCGGCACCACCGAGGCUGCCAUCAUCCUGUCUCUCGGCGCCCUCGGCAUGUCCGCCAAUAUCUUCCUCAUGACGCUUCUCAUCGCCCGCAGGCACCUCAGGAGGUGGUCCCAGGGCCUGCUCUUCCACCAGGCACUCGUGGACUGUGGGAGGGCAGCAAUACUCAUCCCACUAGGCCGCUCCAUAUACAGCUGUCAGCCGGUCACCAAGUGUUCUCUGGUGGAGACUGCCUUCCUGCUGCUCGUCACCGUGUCCACAAUCAAUAUGUUAACAACGGUAUUAAGUCAAGUGCUGAACGACGCUCCACUACUGCCGGAGGACUCUGACCAGAAGCAAAUGCCGCUGGUUAUGGAGUCACCGCAGUGUGUUCUCUUCGGUACCUUCAUGAUCUGGUUCGCCUCCAUCACGAUAAAUCUCGGUCCUACCUUCCUUUCCGGGGCACUGGCGGCGAACAUUGAUGAGGAACACAACGCCCCAUCGUGUCCGCUCAUCACGGGGCCGCUGCGUCACUAUGUCCUGAACGUGCUGUGGAUCGUGACUAACGUGCUCGUGGUGCUGCUCACAGUCUAUCAUCUCUGGAAGCUGUACCGUGACCUGUCCACCUCCUCGCUCGAAGCCGUCCGCAUCGCCUCCCUCGUCACCACCAUGAUCAGCGUCACCCAGCCAAGAAACCAAGACCCUGAGGCGAGUGAGCACCGGCAGGUCAACAGCUACAUCAACCGUAUGGAGCGUGAGGGCGUGGAGCGAGUCAAAAUGUUCGUGGUGGUGACGAUCGCCUACGUGGUGUUCUGGGGCCCCCUGUUCCUGGUUACUCUGCUCACGCCAUCAGGAGGCAAGACAGGACUCAGCCACGAGGUGACUCUUCACGUGGCUUAUGUGCACGCCUUCGUCAACCCGGCACUGUUCCUGGCGCUGCACAAGGGCUUAAGGAAGGCAGUAACCGACAUUAUGUGUUGCCAUUGCUCCACUGUGAGUUGCGCCGCUGACGAUACAAGUGGACGAGUGGGUGACGGCGGCCUCUCCAGCUUGCAGUCGAACAUGGCGUCCUCGCGGGCUAGUCUCGGCGGCGGCGGGCUGGCAGGGUUGGCCGGGAUGGGCGCGGCUAUGGGGGCGAGCGGUGGUUUAGGAGGAGGCACGUCCGGACUCUCCCCCGCUGCCCAGGCCCUACCGCAGUACCCAACAGACGGAGACAUCACCCCGCCGCCUUUCUCCUCCAUCAACCGACCUUACCUAUUCACGGAAGUAAACAGUCCAGGAGGCAGCGUGCGGGGCUCCCACCAGGACCUGAGCCAGCACCGCCUGCAUAUGGCUACUCCCACCAAGAGCAGCAUGAAAGUAAGACUAGUUAUACACAAGAAUUCGUCUCCAACCACAAGCCUCCACGAUGAAUUGUGAAUGGUUACCUUGGGAGCCGUGAGGCCAGGAGUCAGGCGAGCGGGCCGACCUUCGCCGCCUAUGACAAAAGACUGGCCUAAGCCGCCCCUGGAGUACUGCCGCCGCCCCUCCUGGUGAA